GUUAGGAAUAUUGGACAAUGGGCGCAAGCCUGAUCCAGCCAUGCCGCGUGAGUGAUGAAGGCCUUCGGGUUGUAAAGCUCUUUAGUCCACGAAUAUAAUGACUGUAGUGGAAGAAUAAGCCCCGGCUAACUUCGUGCCAGCAGCCGCGGUAAUACGAAGGGGGCGAGCGUUAUUCGGAAUCACUGGGCGUAAAGCGUGCGUAGGCUGUUUUGUAAGUCAGAAGUGAAAGCCCAGGGGUUAACCCUGGAAUUGCUUUUGAAACUACAAGACUCGAAUUCGGGAGAGGAUAGCGGAAUUGUCAGUGUAGCAGUGAAAUGCGUAGAUAUUGACAGGAACACCAGUGGCGCAAGCGGCUAUCUGGACCGAUAUUGACGCUGAGGCACGAAAGCGUGGGGAGCAAACAGGAUUAGAAACCCUGGUAGUCC
rnacentral:rRNA from 1 species